GACGAACGCUGGCGGCGUGCUUAACACAUGCAAGUCGAACGGAAAGGCCCUGCUUUUGUGGGGUGCUCGAGUGGCGAACGGGUGAGUAACACGUGAGUAACCUGCCCUUGACUUUGGGAUAACUUCAGGAAAUUGGGGCUAAUACCGGAUAGGAGCUCCUGCUGCAUGGUGGGGGUUGGAAAGUUUCGGCGGUUGGGGAUGGACUCGCGGCUUAUCAGCUUGUUGGUGGGGUAGUGGCUUACCAAGGCUUUGACGGGUAGCCGGCCUGAGAGGGUGACCGGCCACAUUGGGACUGAGAUACGGCCCAGACUCCUACGGGAGGCAGCAGUGGGGAAUAUUGCACAAUGGGCGGAAGCCUGAUGCAGCAACGCCGCGUGCGGGAUGACGGCCUUCGGGUUGUAAACCGCUUUCGCCUGUGACGAAGCGUGAGUGACGGUAAUGGGUAAAGAAGCACCGGCUAACUACGUG
rnacentral:rRNA from 1 species